AGAGGGGGAUAACGUUUGGAAACGAACGCUAAUACCGCAUGAUAUUAUUGAGCUGCAUGGCUUGAUAAUCAAAGGAGUAAUCCGCUGAAAGAUGGGCUCGCGUCCGAUUAGGUAGUUGGCGGGGCAACGGCCCACCAAGCCGACGAUCGGUAGCCGGACUGAGAGGUUGAACGGCCACAUUGGGACUGAGACACGGCCCAGACUCCUACGGGAGGCAGCAGUGAGGGAUAUUGGUCAAUGGGGGAAACCCUGAACCAGCAACGCCGCGUGAGGGAAGACGGUUUUCGGAUUGUAAACCUCUGUCCUCUGUGAAGAUAAUGACGGUAGCAGAGGAGGAAGCUCCGGCUAACUACGUGCCAGCAGCCGCGGUAAUACGUAGGGAGCAAGCGUUGUCCGGAUUUACUGGGUGUAAAGGGUGCGUAGGCGGCUUUGCAAGUCAGAAGUGAAAUCCAUGGGCUUAACCCAUGAACUGCUUUUGAAACUGCAGAGCUUGAGUGGAGUAGAGGUAGGCGGAAUUCCCGGUGUAGCGGUGAAAUGCGUAGAGAUCGGGAGGAACACCAGUGGCGAAGGCGGCCUGCUGGGCUCUAACUGACGCUGAGGCACGAAAGCGUGGGUAGCAAACAGGAUUAGAUACCCUGGUAGUCCACGCUGUAAACGAUGAUUACUAGGUGUGGGCGGACUGACCCCAUCCGUGCCGGAGUUA
rnacentral:rRNA from 1 species